UCAGACGAUGCGUCAUGCAUAUCAAUAAGCGGAGGAAAAGAAACUAACAAGGAUUCCCCUAGUAACGGCGAGUGAAGCGGGAAGAGCUCAAAUUUGAAAUCUUAAAGGGUUUCCCUUUACGAAUUGUAGUUUAAAGAAGUGUUAUCUGUUGAGGUUUUGGUAAAAGUUCUUUGGAAUAGGACAUCAUAGAGGGUGAGAAUCCCGUAUUUGACCUUUACUUUCAACUUUGUGAUACACUUUCAAAGAGUCGGAUUGUUUGGGAAUGCAGUCCAAAAUGGGUGGUAAAUUUCAUCUAAAGCUAAAUAUUGGCGAGAGACCGAUAGCGAACAAGUACCGUGAGGGAAAGAUGAAAAGAACUUUGAAAAGAGAGUUAAACAGUACGUGAAAUUGUCAAAAGGGAAGCGUUUGACACCAGUGUUGUUUUUCUGAAAAUCAAUUAAAGAACUGUUUAUGCUAAGUUGUUUAGACUUUAUCAGCUAACUGUUUAGUUUUGAGCUUUUCUUUAAUGCACUUUUCAGUUAACAAGUCAACAUCAAUUUCUUUUGCUGUAAAAAAGCUUGAGGAAGGUGGCUUGAGAUUCGUCUUAAGUGUUUAUAGCCUCUUGCCUAUGCAGUCGGAGAGAUUGAGGUCUGCAGCGUAGAUCCUUCGGGGCUAAAUGCAUUUGUGCUAAGUUAUAGCAUUUUAUAGACAACUUGUUGACUAUGAUUUGUCUUGUAGCUUACUCGCUUAUGUUAUUUUACCUACGCUUAGGAUGUUGAAUCUGUGCGAGACUAC
rnacentral:rRNA from 1 species